rnacentral:rRNA from 1 species
UACGUAGGCAGCAAGCGUUGUUCGGAGUUACUGGGCGUAAAGGGUGUGUAGGCGGUUUUCUAAGUCUGGUGUGAAAUCUCCCGGCUCAACUGGGAGGGUGCGCCGAAAACUGGAAGGCUAGAGUGCGGGAUGGGAGAGUGGAAUCCUGGUGUAGCGGUGAAAUGCGCAGAUAUCAGGAAGAACACCUAUGGCGAAGGCAGCUCUCUGGGACGGUACUGACGCUGAGACGCGAAAGCGUGGGGAGCGAACAGG